rnacentral:rRNA from 1 species
AGCGAACGCUGGCGGCAGGCCUAACACAUGCAAGUCGAACGGGCGUAGCAAUACGUCAGUGGCAGACGGGUGAGUAACGCGUGGGAACGUACCUUUUGGUUCGGAACAACCCAGGGAAACUUGGGCUAAUACCGGAUAAGCCCUUACGGGGAAAGAUUUAUCGCCGAAAGAUCGGCCCGCGUCUGAUUAGCUAGUUGGUGUGGUAACGGCGCACCAAGGCGACGAUCAGUAGCUGGUCUGAGAGGAUGAUCAGCCACAUUGGGACUGAGACACGGCCCAAACUCCUACGGGAGGCAGCAGUGGGAAUAUUGGACAAUGGGCGCAAGCCUGAUCCAGCCAUGCCGCGUGAGUGAUGAAGGCCCUAGGGUUGUAAAGCUCUUUUGUGCGGGAAGAUAAUGACGGUACCGCAAGAAUAAGCCCCGGCUAACUUCGUGCCAGCCGCCGCGGU